CAAAUUAGGAACCUGAACUCUGAGCUGUUGCCCGAAGAGGGGCUGCCAGUUACGUCCAGCCCCAGGCAGCCAAGCUGACAUCUAGCUGUGCUGGGAACUCCCCACGCUCGGCUCUCAGCAUGGAGCAUGAGCACAGAGCUGGUGGAGGGAGGCUGGGACCGCUCAGAGAGACGUGUUCCCGCACUCGCGACCCCCACAACCCCCUCCGUCUUCCCCCUGGUUCCCUGCUGCAGCAAGACCGGCAAUGCGCCCCCGGACACCAGCUUGGCCUGCCUCGUAACUGGCUAUUUGCCAUCACCAGUGGACAUCAAGUGGAAUUCUGGCCAAGUGACCAAGGGGGUCAAAACUUUCCCAGAGGUGACGAUGAGCAAUGGGCUCCACACCCAGAGCAGCCUGCUGAUCCCCUCUGACAGUUCCCGGCAGGGCGACCCCUACCAGUGCGACGUGACGCACCAAGGCACAGCAAAGACAGUGUCCGGGAAGUUCCCUCAGGAAUUGUGUGGUUCCGCAAUGCCACCCCAGGUUCACCUCCUGGUCCCCACCUGCGAGGACAGCACCACGGAGAGCCAGCUGGAGCUGGUUUGCCUCCUCCUGAGCUUCGGACCCGGGAAAGCCGACGUGAAAUGGCUGGUGAAUGGAAAGGAGAGGAGCCCCCCCACCCCGGCCUUUUCCUCUGCAAUGGGCACAGAUGGCUCCUACAUGGGGCAGAGUCGCAUGACCGUCACCAGGCAGAGCUGGGAGACGGGGGACGUCUACACCUGUCAAGUGACCCACCCAGCAGUGGGAACAGAGCUCUCCAUGCACAACGCCAGCAAGUGCUUGGGCAUCAGUAAGAAGGAGCCCACAGUCACCGUCUCCCGAGCCUACCACGAAGACAUCUCUGGGAACAGUGUCUCCUUUACUCUCAUCUGCGAAGCUAGUGGCUUUUACCCUGAAGAGAUCAGCAUGUCAUGGUUGAAGAAUAACUCCCCGGAACUCAAGUCCAGUUACAACAAUGGCCCUGUGUCAGGAAAUGGCACUUUCUCUGCCUACAGCGUCCUGAAGGUUGAGCAAAGUCAAAGAGAAGGAAAUUACGCCUGCGUGGUGCAUCACCCGGCCAUGGAAGAGCCCAAGAGGGUUGUGGAAAAGGUGUCCCUCGGUGUCAGCAACUGUAAUCGACACCCUCUGGAGGUCUCUCUCCUUCCCCCUUCCCUGGAGGACCUCUACGUAGGGCAGAACGCCACCAUCAGUUGUUUGGUGAGUGGCAUGGAAACCCCCGGCAGCCUGGAGGUCUCCUGGAACCGGGGUAGUGGGGGCCCGUUGGCCUUGGUCUCCAGGGAGCCAGUGCUGCAGGAAGAUGGCACCUACAGUGCAACCAGCAUCCUUCGGGUGUUCGUGGAGGAGUGGCAGGCGGGGGAGGAGUUCACCUGCACCGUGAAGCACCAAGACAUCCCAUCGGCCAUUGUCAAGAGCAUCCGCAAGAGUCACAUGGUUUCCCUCCGGGCCCCUUCUGUCUACAUCUCCCCUCCUCACGCUGAGGAGCUGGCUCUCCGGGAAUUGGCCACCAUCACCUGCCUGGCCUCCGGCUUCCGGCCCAGAGCCAUCUUGGUGACAUGGACCCAGCAGGACCGGCCCGUGCCCCAGGAAGCCUACACCAACAUUGGCCCCGUCCGGGAGGCUGGGAAGGAGGAGCGCUACUUCAUCUACAGCAAGCUCAAUGUCUUGGCAUCUGAAUGGGAGCGGGGGGAUACGUACGCCUGCGUGGUGGGGCACGAGGGUCUGCCCAUGACCUUCAUCCACCGGAGCGUGGACAAAGCCUCCGCUCCUCUCUGCCUCGUGGAGGACCAAGGCGUCUCUGUUGAAGGAGGAGAGGAGGAAUCUGACGGUCUCUGGACACCUGUUGCCUUCAUUGCUCUCUUCCUGCUCAGCCUGUUGUACAGCGCCGGCGUCACGCUGCUUAAGGUAAGAGCAACAGCGACCUUCAUGGUCCCGCGUCACUGCUCAGAGCAACAACCCGUGCUCAGGAAUCGAUCCCACGCCAUCAGCAUGCAGCCAGCCGCCAGCCGCCAUCACCACCCAUAGUCAGUGAUUGUCAGAGGCCAGAGCCAAGGGCUAGAGCCACAGUCAGGAGUUGGAGCCCAGGGUUAG